rnacentral:tRNA from 1 species
GGGAAGGUGGCUCAGCGGUAGAGUGCUUGCCUUGCAUGCAUGAGGCCCUGGGUU